rnacentral:misc_RNA from 1 species
GAAGGAUCAUUAGUGAAUAUUAGGACGUUCAAUUUAACUUGAAGUCCGAACUCCCACUUUCUAACCCUGUGCAUUUGUUUUGGCUAGUAGGAUAUCUCGGUAUCCGAACACCUCUUCAUUUACAAACACUAAGUCUAUGAAUGUUUAAAUUUUAUAACAAUAUAAAACUUUCAACAACGGAUCUCUUGGCUCUCGCAUCGAUGAAGAACGCAGCGAAAUGUGAUAAGUAAUGUGAAUUGCAGAAUUCAGUGAAUCAUCGAAUCUUUGAACGCAUCUUGCACUCUUUGGUAUUCCGAAGAGUAUGUCUGUUUGAGUGUCAUGAAUUCUUCAACCCUCCCUUUUCUUAGUGAAUUGAGAGGAGUUUGGAUUCUGAGUGUUGCUCCUAAUACGAGCUCAUUCGUAAUACAUUAGCAUCCAUAUUCGAAUUUCGGAUUGACUUGGCGUAAUAGACUAUUCGCUGAGGAAUCUAACUUCGGUUAGAGCCGUGUUUGAACUAGGAAGCUACUAAUCUAGCUUAGUCUACCUUUAGAUUAGACCUCAAAUCAGGCAGGAUUACCCGCUGAACUUAA